AUGUAGGCGCGAGUGGCGGACGGGUGAGUAACGCGUGAGUAAUCUGCCUCAUACAGGAGAAUAACACUAAGAAAUUGGUGCUAAUACUCCAUAAGCUCACAUUAUGACAUCAUAGAGAGAGAAAAGAUUUAUCGGUAUGAGAGGAGCUCGCGUCUGAUUAGCUAGUUGGUGGGGUAACGGCCUACCAAGGCAACGAUCAGUAGCCGACCUGAGAGGGUGAUCGGCCACAUUGGAACUGAGACACGGUCCAAACUCC
rnacentral:rRNA from 1 species